AUGGGGGCUAACCAGUUAGUGGUGUUCAAUGUCUAUGACAUGUACUGGAUGAGUGAAUACACCUCAUCUAUUGGAAUUGGAGCUUUUCAUUCUGGAAUUGAUGUCAAUGGCAGAGAAUUGGCUUAUGGUGGCCAUCCUUAUCCUUUUUCUGGUCUCUUUUAAAUUUCCCCAGGAAAUGCUUCUGAGCUAGGAGAAACAUUUAAAUUUAAG
rnacentral:lncRNA from 1 species